UUGAAGGUGUGGAGACUAGAGUCCCUUCUAUAUCCACAGACAGGUACGGCACAGGCAGCGGCAGUGCAGCUUUUCCACUGUCCCACCAGUGUGCCUCAGUCCUAGCCUAGGAGGACCACGGUGAGGGUAAGAGAGCUGUUCAGUCUCCAUGCCCUUCGAUCUUUUAAUACU
rfam:Equus caballus chromosome 4, whole genome shotgun sequence.